GCCGCCUCUCGGCCGCGGGACCGGACGCAGCCUGGGUUGUGAUUGCUCCAGUAUCAGAGGCGGCUAAUGGGACAAGAAUUCCUUUGAGAACUCUGAGUGAGAUCUUGAAAUUGCAUAAUUGGCUCACCUGGGAAAUCCACACCAAAGACAGAAGCAUCAAAGAAGGAUCUGGUUUUGACUUCUGGCUAUUUGCAUGCAAUCUUUACCUCGCUUUGGCAAGCAGCAAAGGGUUCAUCCCCUUUGCAAAAUUGAGAAAAUUUCCCAAGGAAACACAAAAGCUAAGGCACUGGGCACAGUCAGAAGCGCAGGAGGGUGAGAGAAUUCUCCAGAGCCAGAGCAGGGAACAGAACAGGCAGACAGACGAAAUACACU